rnacentral:lncRNA from 1 species
GGGACUGCUCUUUAGCAGAGAGAAGCUAAUAAUUAACUACCUAAUAUAUCAUUUUUAUUCAUAAAUUUGAAAAAUCGAUCAGCUCAAAUACUAGGUUAUGUGCCCCAUAACUCUCCUCAGCCCACUCUAGGUAAUUUGUAAAAUGAAUAGCACAGAAAUGAUAGAACGGUGAUUAUUUAAUCUAAAAAGGCAAUUAUGUAUGUCUUACUAAAUACAACAUGAUAGAGUAGUAAUAUUAUUCCUAUUAAAUAAUAGUAAAUAAUCACAAAAAACCAUUUUCAUUUAAUUAUAUUUUGAGUGUCAAAAAAUUGACAUUAACUUGGUUUAGUGUCUAUUUCUCCACUAUAAAAGAAUAUAGUUUAAGUAAAAGAAUAUAGUUUAAGUAAAAAUUGGGCUACAAGCUCUAUAAACCAUUAAUAAUAUGUAUAAUGUUAAUAUUUCAGUGCCCCUGCCUAGGAGCUUUUUAUAGAUGUAUCUUUCUACUAUGCUACCAUAGUAGAAUUUGAUAAUUUUAAUGCAUAAAAUAAAAUUUCAUGAAAAAUAAAAUUGUUAAGUAGCAAUAGAAAUAAAAUUACUACUAUCAAGACAAAUAUAUGACAUAUGUGUGUUAAAUUUAUAGGUAUUUCAUAAGCAGUCAUAUAGGAUUUCUAUGAAUAAAGUCUCUUUUUCAGGAUCUUGGUGACAUUGUAUGAGGGCAAAGAAACCUAGUGAUUCAUGCCUUCCGAGUUUUGAAGUAGCAUAUACACAAUAUUGCUACACUGUUUAUGCAAUUUCAACAUAUUACCCAAAUAGAAUUAUGAUUUUUUUGUAAUUCAAUUUGUCCUCAAGGUUUCAUUUUUCCAUCAGUGAUAUAUUGGAAAACUCCUCUAGGCAAUAAAUAUACACAGGAUGGGUUGUAAUUUUCUGUUUCUAAAGUAAUAUGUUUGGUAACUGUCAGUGUCCCCAGAUCAGUUUGGAUGUCCAUAGGGAAAGUAUUUAUUUGCACAUUAAACAUAAGUAGUCUAUGUUGUAUACAUACUCUUUUUAGUUUUCCUUAUGAGGAUGUUCAUGUAACUGUUGCUAAACCAGUGUCAUUUUCUCCCUAAAGAAUAUCAUUUCUUUGGUUUGCGUUGCAAGUUGAUGUCCUCAUUCUGCUCUUAAUUAGAUAUGAGUCUUUGAGUUGAUCAUAUAUGUUCAUUUACUUCAGCUGCACAAGGAGAGAAAUUAUACCUGCAGGAGAGGCUGCUAGGAGGAUCAGAUAUGUAUGCAGGAGCUUUGCUAACUAGAAACUCAUCCAUAAACCAGAGUUGUUUCUCUUUUACAUGUUCCAGCACAUAACAAUUAAAUAUAUAUUUUUCCCCUUGAGAAUUAUAUUUUAGCAAUAUUUUUCAUUAUGCUCUAUUUUUGUAGCUAUUGUAUACUCAUUGCCUUUAAGAUCACUCAGUGACAGCUUCCCUCCUCCUUCCCCAACCUCCUGCCCCACAUACUUCUCUUUCUAUCCUUCCUCUUUUGUGAAAGAAACAAUUAUCUUCUUUAGGCCACUAAGGAACCAUGGACCUAUUUACUUUGUCAAAAUCCAGCAGAGUGCAUAAUGCAUAGUAAUCACUCAAUAAAAUAGUUUUGAUUCUUUCUUUAAUUAACUAAUAUAUGAAUAGGUGAGUAAAUAGAGAAAUUCUUAACAGUUACAUCUAAGCAAGGAUUAUAUAGACUUAAUCUCCCCUGUCAUCAAACUAAACUUUCUGAGAGGAAAUAUCAACAACAACAAAUACCAUGAAGAAGUAUAGGAGGAAAGAGUCUGGAAUGUGCCGCCACUAUAGAAAAGCGAAGACCAUCUUUUGGAGUAAAAUGGGAGAUGACUGGCUCUUUUGAUAGCAGAGGAAGGGUUAAUAUCGUUUUUUAAAUUUGACCUCAGGUAUAAAUUGUGACUCUAAUGUUAAUCAUUAUAAAAUAGAAGCAUCACAUUUCAUAAAUUUAGUUGACCUGUUUCUACUACCCAGAGCCAUGUUCCAUAAAGAACAGCUCCACAAAGUGCACAUUUCUAGAGAGCCUUUUCUGGACUUUUUACAAAUUAAGUCUCUUGUCGUACAAGCUACCGUUCAUGAGCUGUCUGCCAUGAAGCCUUAAAAAUAAUGAUGCAGAUGUUUGAGUCGGUAAAUAGUCCAUCUCUCUUUUAGACAACCUAGUAUAUAAAUAAAAUUGUACGCCCUCCCACUCCUUUACACCGUGCUUAGAUCACAAUAUCAAUUCGCACAAGGAAAUGGAUGUUCUAGGAACUGGACAUACAAAUAUAUUAUGUCUUCUCUUUGAAAUGAGUAAAGGAAAGGGAACUAAUAAUAGUGUGACAUUGUUGCUACUCACUAACGACAGCCUGGAAUAAAUAAAAAAAAAGUCUUCCUUUUGUUGUCCUGAUGGUGAGAUAUGACUGGCUUUCAUAAUGCUAGAGGUACAAAUGUCCUCAUAUUUUAAAAAUGUUUGAUAAGAUCCUUAUCUCUCAUAUAUUUCAGUUGAGGUAUUUUAUGCCUUGUAUUGCAUCUAAUAGGCCUAUCCACAAAUGAAGAGUAUAUGAGGGGAAAGAUGAACAUCACUUCAUAACGAGACAUUGAGAUAAAUCCUCCUAAAUUAUGAAAGUUUCCAAAUGCAUAUGGCCUUUUUAUUCAUGGCUUUUUCUAUUCAAAUAUCAAAGUGCUUCAAGUGGCUUUGAUGACAUACUUAUGAAUUCAUGAAAGUGUUUUUCAUAAUGUGCUCACCUUUGGGGCUGAGAGGUUAUGCAGAUUGCUUUUAUUUGCUUGGCUGGAAAAGAAGAGCUAAGAGUGUGUUGCAGACACAUCACACUUUAGAACAAUUUCUUACAUUGUCCUAAGCUACUUUUCACAAACUUGCUGGAAUUCUUUACUCAAACUUCAGGCAAUGGUAAGAAUAAAUGUCAAAUAUUAUUAGUUCCAGAGUAUAACUACUAGUUUUGGUUUCGACUGCACAGUACAUAGAAAAACCUUGGAACAUUUCCAGUUAUCUUCACUAUCAUUUAGUCCUUAAAACCCA